AGCCGGGGUGGUAGCGGUACCCUAAUCCAGCAAUCCGCUAUAGCUGGGGUGAUGCCAAACAGAGGAUUUCGGGUGGUGGAGCCGCCCUUCGUAAGUGGCGUUGAAGUUUGGGUCUUGCGCAACAGGAAUCUAUGAACCGGGUCAGGUCAGGAAUGGAGCAGCCCUAAGUAGAAACUCCUGUGUGCCGCAAGGGUGCCUGGGCUGAGUUAACUGCGGAGGUAACGUCUGUUAUCCGGAUUCGACGGGCGGCGC
rnacentral:SRP_RNA from 1 species